GACGAACGCUGGCGGCGUGCUUAACACAUGCAAGUCGAACGGAAAGGCCCUGCUUUUGUGGGGUGCUCGAGUGGCGAACGGGUGAGUAACACGUGAGUAACCUGCCCUUGACUUUGGGAUAACUUCAGGAAACUGGGGCUAAUACCGGAUAGGAGCUCCUGCUGCAUGGUGGGGGUUGGAAAGUUUCGGCGGUUGGGGAUGGACUCGCGGCUUAUCAGCUUGUUGGUGGGGUAGUGGCUUACCAAGGCUUUGACGGGUAGCCGGCCUGAGAGGGUGACCGGCCACAUUGGGACUGAGAUACGGCCCAGACUCCUACGGGAGGCAGCAGUGGGUAAUAUUGCACAAUGGGCGGAAGCCUGAUGCAGCAACGCCGCGUGCGGGAUGACGGCCUUCGGGUUGUAAACCGCUUUCGCCUGUGACGAAGCGUGAGUGACGGUAAUGGGUAAAGAAGCACCGGCUAACUACGU
rnacentral:rRNA from 1 species